GGAAUGUAGCUCGGUGGUAAAGUGUUUGCCUAGGAUGCAAAGGCCCUAAGUUCAAAUCCCAGUACCA
rnacentral:tRNA from 1 species